rnacentral:snRNA from 1 species
GUGCUUGCUUUGGCAGCACAUAUACUAAAAUUGGAACGAUACAGAGAAGAUUAGCACAGCCAUUGCACAAGGAUGACAAGCAAAUUCGAGAAGCAUUCCAUAUUUAA